CAGUAACACCAGUGUCACCAGUCCCAGUGUCCCCAGUCCCAGUAUCACCAGUGUCCCCAGUGUCACCAGUGUCCCCAGUGUCACCAGUGUCCCCAGUCCCAGUAUCCCCAGUUCCAUCCCAGUAUCCCCAGUUCCAUCCCAGUUCCAUCCCAGUUCCCUCCCAGUUCCUUCCCAGUUCCGUCCCAGUUCCAUCCCAGUUCCCUCCCAGUAUCCCCAGUUCCAUCCCAGUUCCAUCCCAGUUCCCUCCCAGUAUCCCCAGUUCCAUCCCAGUUCCCUCCCAGUAUCCCCAGUUCUCUCCCAGUAUCCCCAGUUCCGUCCCAGUUCCAUCCCAGUUCCAUCCCAGUAUCCCCAGUUCCCUCCCAGUAUCCCCAGUUCCAUCCCAGUUUCACCAGUUCCAUCCCAGUUCCA
rnacentral:lncRNA from 1 species